AAGAGUGAUUCUAUGAUAAAAGAGAAUUGCCAGACGUUUAUUCCGUACUUCCCUGCAUAAUUUGAUGGCCCUGUAAAUUGAUUGUAUACCUCAGUAUAAUGCAAGUAUAUUAUACAAGAUCAGUCAUUUUUUCUUCCACAAGAAUAUGUAAAUGAAUUCAAACUCUCAAACUGCUUUAUUUAUUUCGAGUUAAGAGAACUUGGGGGGGAUUAAGCUAGGAACUCACUUUUGCCGCCCACGAACUGUUACUCAUGAUACUCAUGCUACUGUUGUGCAACCUAAAUCCAAUGAUUCACCUACUUGGAAAAGGAUGUUAACCUGUCAGAAAAGAUAUAGAACGCUUCACUGCAUCCAGAUUGGAUAUUGGGUAUCUCUGCAAGGAUUGAUAAUUUCAUUGGGGACAAACCUCUCAGCAUCAUUUGGGAUUUUGCCCUUCCUGAGCCAUUCAAAACAUCCAGUUCAGGAGUUUAAAAGUGAUCACAGAUUCUGGGUAAGUCAUUGGGAGCAAAUUAAAAAUAAAAAAAAAAUAAAAUAAAAUAAAAAAAUAAAAAAAUGGUUGUUUUACUAUGAAUGCCUCAACCAUGAU
rnacentral:lncRNA from 1 species